AUUUGGCACAAUCUAUUGCGCAGCACGAGACAAAAAGGAAAUCUUGAGCCACCUUUUCGAAUCGUUUACCUGCCUGGUGGAAAUUGAUGUGUACCUUAACUGCAUGGACAUACAUAUACCAUAAAUAUAUGGGCCUGUAAACACAGCAGGAGUCAAGAAUCGAGUAGGUUAAGUUUUACAACCUCUGGAAAGUUAUAUCCGUUUCAGAGGGAAGUUAACAACAAGGGCGAGGUGUGAAAUGUAUCCUUGAGAACCUGCUUGAUCGUUCUUCUCGAUAUGAAAAUAUAUAUUUAAAAAGCGAUUUCUAUCUCAACAGUAUAUCGGAAAAACUAUCUAUGUGUAUCUCUGCAAGGACCCUACUUAUAUCCGCUUAUUUUUAUGCAUUUGCGAUUUGCGGAUGUCAUUCAGUGGGACGAGGACAAUCAGCGGUCUGUUUUUGUUGCAUCGCUCAAACGGGAAAGGACGACCACUCCCAUUUAAUCUGCCUCGGGUUGUCCUUUGUCCCCGCCGAUUGUCCAGAUUGCUGUUACCUGCACACGGCAUCUGCAACUUGGCCCGUAGGUGGCUGCACGACCCCGUGCCAUUCAUCUUCGUUCCUGUUCCGCGAAGACUUAGGAGACAAUCCCGCCAGGAUUGCCAGGAAUUCUGUGCAUGUGCUGCGGCUGAGCCGCGUCCUGUGUGGAAGGAACUGUGAAGCGUAGCGAAACGGCCAUUAACGCGGGAAACGCUCACAAUUAUCGAAGGCCUGAUCCUGAAUCUCACUUUUGGGCUGGAAGAUUGUUGCAACAGAGCAAAGGGGCAAGGAGACAAGGAGGCCAGGGGCAGGACAACCAGGAGCAGUUGAAAAAUCAAAAAAUAAACAAAGAUUUGUUUUUCUUCCAAAAACUAUGACUAUGAGGAGAAGUGUUGAAUUUCAAUAAAGGAUGUGUGUUUUUCAACUGACUCUAAAUCCUUUCGUUUCCGAGAAUUAAAAUCGAUUCCCUGCCAAAAAGAGACAA